GAAAUCUUAGGGAGCCAGUGCAAACGCAACAGUUUUGUAAGGCAUAUAUCUUUAUACCCAACCAGGAUAUAGCUUCACAGGUUUGUUGCGUGUGCUUUUAUUUGAUGAAUUCUAACUGAAUUGGUAGCACAUGAACGCCAUAAUAACGAACCGGUUACAACAUAAACUAGGCUAUACCUUUACAC
rnacentral:sRNA from 1 species